GAUGAACGCUGGCGGCGUGCCUAAUACAUGCAAGUCGAACGCUUCACUUCGGUGAAGAGUGGCGAACGGGUGAGUAAUACAUAAGUAACCUGGCAUCUACAGGGGGAUAACUGAUGGAAACGUCAGCUAAGACCGCAUAGGUGUAGAGAUCGCAUGAACUCUAUAUGAAAAGUGCUACGGGACUGGUAGAUGAUGGACUUAUGGCGCAUUAGCUGGUUGGUAGGGUAACGGCCUACCAAGGCGACGAUGCGUAGCCGACCUGAGAGGGUGACCGGCCACACUGGGACUGAGACACGGCCCAGACUCCUACGGGAGGCAGCAGUAGGGAAUUUUCGGCAAUGGGGGAAACCCUGACCGAGCAACGCCGCGUGAAGGAAGAAGUAAUUCGUUAUGUAAACUUCUGUCAUAGAGGAAGAACGGUGGAUAUAGGGAAUGAUAUCCAAGUGACGGUACUCUAUAAGAAAGCCACGGCUAACUACGUGCCAGCAGCCGCGGUAAUACGUAGGUGGCGAGCGUUAUCCGGAAUUAUUGGGCGUAAAGAGGGAGCAGGCGGCACUAAGGGUCUGUGGUGAAAGAUCGAAGCUUAACUUCGGUAAGCCAUGGAAACCGUAGAGCUAGAGUGUGUGAGAGGAUCGUGGAAUUCCAUGUGUAGCGGUGAAAUGCGUAGAUAUAUGGAGGAACACCAGUGGCGAAGGCGACGAUCUGGCGCAUAACUGACGCUCAGUCCCGAAAGCGUGGGGAGCAAAUAGGAUUAGAUACCCUAGUAGUCCACGCCGUAAACGAUGAGUACUAAGUGUUGGGUGUCAAAGCUCAGUGCUGCAGUUAACGCAAUAAGUACUCCGCCUGAGUAGUACGUUCGCAAGAAUGAAACUCAAAGGAAUUGACGGGGGCCCGCACAAGCGGUGGAGCAUGUGGUUUAAUUCGAAGCAACGCGAAGAACCUUACCAGGUCUUGACAUCGAUCUAAAGGCUCCAGAGAUGGAGAGAUAGCUAUAGAGAAGACAGGUGGUGCAUGGUUGUCGUCAGCUCGUGUCGUGAGAUGUUGGGUUAAGUCCCGCAACGAGCGCAACCCCCGUUGCCAGUUGCCAGCAUUAAGUUGGGGACUCUGGCGAGACUGCCGGUGACAAGCCGGAGGAAGGCGGGGAUGACGUCAAAUCAUCAUGCCCCCUAUGACCUGGGCUACACACGUGCUACAAUGGACAGAGCAGAGGGAAGCGAAGCCGCGAGGUGGAGCGAAACCCAUAAAACUGUUCUCAGUUCGGACUGCAGUCUGCAACUCGACUGCACGAAGAUGGAAUCGCUAGUAAUCGCGAAUCAGCAUGUCGCGGUGAAUAAAAUCUCGGGCCUUGCACU
rnacentral:rRNA from 1 species